rnacentral:lncRNA from 1 species
GGGCUCAGGCCCCUGAACACCAUCAAUCAUAUUACUGGUGAGGAGAUUGAAUACCUUAGGGCUUGGUUCAAAGAAGUGGUUCAAAUUGCACUUAAAAAGUUAGAUACUGCUGGGGCUAAGAUAGAAAUAGCUUUAGUUCAUAAGAACCUAGGAAAAAGAUUGGCGUUCGAGUUCCUACAAAAACCUUGAGGGAGAGAUGGAAGUUAGUUGGUAAUUUUGAAACUCUUUUGGUUGCUGUUGGGUAUAAAAUAACCCCCACCGAAGUUCGUAAGAGACGACCCUCCCAAGACUCUUCCGGCUUCCGACCUUGUGCGACGUCUUUCUGAACUCCCCCGACCAUCCGAGCUUCCACAAUAUCGUCCGAACUCCUCCAGC